GGCGUGCCCAUAAAUACGCAUCCUGACGCCAAGUCACGUAGAAGUGACAACAAACGAGCUGAGAAGCGAACCCUCCGCUAAUUUGUGACGCUCCGUCGGGGUCAAAGAUAUGGAGAGCGCGGAGAUUCGCGGCUCGGAAAAGAAGCGCAGAAGACGCGGCUUCAUUCUGGCUGCGGCCGCGGUGGUCCUGCUUCUGGUUAUUCUCGCUGUUGUGUUAGGAGUGACCCUAAGUGGGGAGAGGAAGAGAGAAGAGUUUAAAGACACAUUCAUGGAGAGAUGUCAGAAGUUCAAAGGGUAUAACUGCCAACACAUAUGGGAAUUAUUUCAGCAAGCCUAUGUGAACAAAGAUCCUUGUGAAGUUCCCCCAAACGCCUACGAUACCCUUAUCGCUGCAGCUCCCAUGGAACCUCCCUGCAACACGCUGUUGUUCUGGAGCAAAACAAAGGACGUGGUCCAAGACUUUGCCAGGAAGAAUAAGUGUUUCCAGGCUGUGGAGGAAACCCUGCUGGGAUCGGUCCUGAACAGCUUGACCUGGUGUGGAAAGAAGGACAGCAAUGAAACGCUUACCACUGGCUGCCCUGGAUGGCUGGAGUGUGAGAACAACCCUCCUCGCUCUUUCUGGAGAAGACUCUCGACCGCGUUUGGAGACGCUGCCUGUGGAAACGCCACCGCGAUGCUGAAUGGUUCCAUCACAACGCCGUUCGAUUCACAAAGUAUUUUUGCCAGCGUUGAGGUGAAGAGGUUUAAGUCUCCCAGGGUGAAAAACCUGAACGUUGUUCUGGUCAUCCAGAAGAACUCUGUAUCAAACUGCUCAAAUCCAUCUUUACAAAACCUGGUGACGGUGUUGGACAAAGGGAUCAGUUACAGAUGCGUCGAAGUGCCCAGGUCUCAAAUCGAGGAGUGCGGCGACGACCCGGAGAAACCCUGUGGACCAUGUUGGUGAGACUGGAAGAACCAACAGAUGGAACUAUUUUAAACCAAUCUUAACAAUCUUUUAAUAUUUGUCAGUCAGAUCAUGUCUUUUUAUUAUCAAGGUUGUGAUUAGGGAAUUAUUAUUAUUAUUAUUAUCACAACAAUUAUUACAUGUCCUGUAGUGUUAAAUAAAAAUGCUGCUAUAUGUGUUCAAGUAAGGAGCAGUUUGUCAAUGCAUCCAACUGCUAUAUUUCGGGAAAAAAUUGAUAUAUUGUAAAAUAAAGGCCGUACGUGUUGGUAAAAGUGGAAUGGGUUCAUUUUCCAGAGGCUUGUGUCAUGGCUCGUGACUUCUGAAAUGUCGCUAGAUGGGUUUUUGUUUGUUGACGAUAAAGAAGGUGAAAAGGAGGGCUGGUUCUGUUCUGGGGACGGAUGUGGAACCUCUAGAGAUUCUUCAUCUUCAUGAAACUCGAAAAAGCGCAUCUUCAGUCAAGAGGCUUUAUCACGGCUGCUGCUAUACAGACUGCUACAGGAGAUCCUUCUGUAUCUACAACAAUUCUUUGAAGCUACUUGGAUAAUAUGAAUUAAAAGUAAAUAAUUUCCCUUUGGGGUUUGGAGAA